rnacentral:rRNA from 1 species
UAAGACAGAGGUGCCAAGCGUUAGGCGGAAUCACUGGGCUUAAAGCGUGUGUAGGCGGAUGCCUAAGUACCUUGUGAAAUCCCACGGCUCAACCGUGGAACUGCUGGGUAUACUGGGUGUCUUGGGCCAACUAGGGGUCGCUGGAACAAAUGGUGGAGCGGUGAAAUGCGUAGAUAUCAUUUGGAACGCCAAGGGCGAAAGCAAGCGACUGGGGUUGUGCCGACGCUGAGACACGAAAGCCAGGGGAGCGAACGGGAUUAGAUACCCCGGUAGUCCUGGCCCUAAACGAUGUCCACUAGAUCGUAGCGCCUCUGACGGUGUUAUGGUCGAAGCAAAAGUGCUAAGUGGACCGCCUGGGAAGUACGGUCGCAAGGCUA